rnacentral:rRNA from 1 species
UACGUAGAGUGCGAGCGUUAAUCGGAAUUACUGGGCGUAAAGCGUGCGCAGGCUGUUCUGUAAGUCAGAUGUGAAAUCCCCGAGCUCAACUUGGGAACUGCGUUUGAAACUACAGGACUAGAAUAUGUCAGAGGGGGGUAGAAUUCCACGUGUAGCAGUGAAAUGCGUAGAGAUGUGGAGGAAUACCAAUGGCGAAGGCAGCCCCCUGGGAUAACACUGACGCUCAUGCACGAAAGCGUGGGGAGCAAACAGG